rnacentral:misc_RNA from 1 species
GCGUGUCGACGAAGAUCGUCCCGCGCCGUUGACCGGAGGCGGUGCCGUACUCCUCGUGACCAUUGACCAGCAGCGGUUGGGCCGGAGCCAUAAGGCAGCAGUGGAAGGUGAGUCGGUGUGAGCCCGUCUUGCAUUGACAGCUUAUAGCCCUGUCUGUACGGUGCUCCGGCGUGACCGAGGAAGCCGGGCAGCCCUUGCCCAUUGUGGUGCACGCCGAAUGGCGGGGCCUCCCGACAGGAGCAAACCGUGCGGUGUGGACUGCAUGCAGUGCUCACUGUUGCGGUGAACUCGUGCCGGAGAGUGCCACUGGUGCGCCAGUGCUGCUGGUGUUCAGAU